rnacentral:lncRNA from 1 species
AUUUCUAAAACUCUAUCUCAUAGAAUUCGAAAUCCAAACUUAUUCCUUUUUGAUUUGAUCCAAAUCACCUUUCAUGUAAGAAAGAAGAGAGGAGACCUUUUGUGAACAUGGGAGAAACCUGGGAGAGGGCUUUUGUCACACAAAAUAAGAGGAGAUUGGCGUUGAAUGAGAGAGAGGGCGUGGGGAAGGCUUAUGUGGUGCA